GUGCUGUCUUUGGCAGCACAUAUACUAAACUUGGAAUGAUACAGAGAAGAUUAGCAUUCCCGUGUAAGAAUGACAUACAAAAUCAUGAAGUGUUUCAUAUUUAA
ensembl:snRNA U6 U6 spliceosomal RNA